UACGUAGGGGGCAAGCGUUGUCCGGAUUUAUUGGGCGUAAAGAGCUCGUAGGCGGCUUAGCAAGUCGGGUGUGAAAACUCCAGGCUCAACCUGGAGACGCCACUCGAGACUGCUAUGGCUAGAGUCCGGUAGGGGACCACGGAAUUCCUGGUGUAGCGGUGAAAUGCGCAGAUAUCAGGAGGAACACCGAUGGCGAAGGCAGGUCUCUGGGCCGAUACUGACGCUGAGGAGCGAAAGCGUGGGGAGCGAACAGG
rnacentral:rRNA from 1 species